rnacentral:sRNA from 1 species
CUAUCCAUGGGAAGAUCUACUAUCCCUAUAUAUUAUUUAGGGAUAGUAGAUCUUCCCAUGGAUAG